GCUUAAAGGGGCCGUAGCUUGAUAAUAGGGUCCCUUGAGAAAUCCGCCGGCUUAACUGGCGGGCGUUCAGGGGAAACUUGUUUUCUAGGGACCGGGAGAGGUGAGGGGUACUGCCGGGGUAGGAGUGAAAUCCUGUAAUCCCGGUGGGACCACCUAUGGCGAAGGCAUCUCACCAGAACGGGUCCGACAGUGAGGGACGAAAGCUGGGGGAGCAAACCGGAUUAGAUACCCGGGUAGUCCCAGCUGUAAACUAUGUGCGUUAGGUGUGUCAGUGACCACGUGUCACUGAGGUGCCGAAGGGAAACCGUGAAACGCACCGCCUGGGGAGUACGGUCGCAAGGCUGAAACUUAAAGGAAUUGGCGGGGGAGCACCACAACGGGUGGAGCCUGCGGUUUAAUCGGACUCAACGCCGGGAAUCUCACCGGAUAAGACAGCUGAAUGAUAGUCGGGAUGAAGACUCUACUUGACUAGCUGAGAGGAGGUGCAUGGCCGUCGUCAGUUCGUACUGUGAAGCAUCCUGUUUAGUCAGGCAACGAGCGAGACCCACGCGAGCAGUUGCCAGCUUGACCUUCGGGUUGAUGGGGACACUGCUCGGACCGCCUCUGCUAAAGGGGAGGAAGGACUGGGCAACGGUAGGUCAGCAUGCCCCGAAUUAUCCGGGCUACACGCGGGCUACAAUGGACAGGACAAUGAGUUUCGACACCGAGAGGUGAGGAUAAUCUUCUAACCCUGUCCCAAGUUCGGAUUGCGGGUUGUAACUCACCCGCAUGAAGCUGGAAUCCGUAGUAAUCGCGUUUCAACAUACCGCGGUGAAUAUGUCCCUGCUCCUUGCACUCACCGCCCGUA
rnacentral:rRNA from 1 species